rnacentral:tRNA from 1 species
GGAAGUGUGGUAGAGAGGCUUAUUACGCCGGUCUUGAAAACCGGAGGUCCAUGAAAGUGGGUCCGUGGGUUCGAAUCCCACCAUUUCCU